rnacentral:rRNA from 1 species
AGAGUUUGAUCAUGGCUCAGAACGAACGCUGGCGGCGUGCUUAACACAUGCAAGUCGAACGCGAACGAGUUCUUCGGAACUUUAGUAGAGUGGCGCACGGGUGAGUAACGCGUAAGUAAUCUACCCUCGCAUUUGGGAUAACCCACCGAAAGGUGUGCUAAUACCGGAUACGUCUAUUUUAAUUCUUUUUUUAUAGAGAAAGGUGGCCUCUGAUUCAAGCUACUGUGCGGGGAGGAGCUUGCGUACCAUUAGCUAGUUGGUAGGGUAAAGGCCUACCAAGGCGAUGAUGGUUAGCGGGUCUGAGAGGAUGAUCCGCCACACUGGAACUGAAACACGGACCAGACUCCUACGGGAGGCAGCAGUGAGGAAUUUUGCGCAAUGGGGGAAACCCUGACGCAGCAACGCCGCGUGAGUGAUGAAGGCUUUCGGGUCGUAAAGCUCUGUCAAGUGAGAAGAAACCAUAUGGUGUUAAUAUCGCUAUAUGCUGACGGUACCACUGAAGGAAGCACCGGCUAACUCCGUGCCAGCAGCCGCGGUAAUACGGGGGGUGCGAGCGUUAUUCGGAUUUACUGGGCGUAAAGAGCGCGUAGGCGGUCUUUCAAGUCAGGUGUGAAAGCCCGGGGCUCAACCCCGGAGGUGCACUUGAAACUAAAAGACUUGAGUAUGGGAGAGGGAAGUGGAAUUCCUGGUGUAGCGGUGAAAUGCGUAGAUAUCAGGAGGAACAUCGGUGGCGAAGGC